AUCCAGAUGACGAGUUCCAAAUGGGACGAAUUUCUCAUCCUGGAU
rnacentral:hammerhead_ribozyme from 1 species